ACAGGGACAGGCUCGCAGUGGGCGGAGCCCACACUCCCGGUGGCCUGACCUCAGCGGCAAGUGUGUCGAAAACAUGGCGAGCACCUGCUCUUGUCAGACAUCAGACACCCCUGAGGGUGGUAAUGACGGUGUCUCCGAGCAGAGGAUCUGUAAGGAUUUUGGGAGUUAGUGCACAUCAAGUUCUCAGCGCCUGGGAUUCAAAUAAUUUCCAAGGUGCUACAUACGGAGUUGGAAUUGUGUUUAAAGCUUGUUAGUUUAGUGUAGACACAAGAGCAAGAAUGAUCUCUUCAGCUGCACCAGCCCCGGUUCCUACACUUACUGGCUGUGACACUAACUUCCCGAUCCACCAGUCUCAUUUUGGCAGAAGAGCCUGUGAAACAACGGAAUGCAGGGCCAACAUGAGCCAUGUGUCAACUGGACCUGCCACCUUCUCCUGACUCUGGAAGCAAGGAUGUGGACAAGUGGACGCUCUCUAAGACACAGAUCGAGCCCCCCAGUCUCCCAGUGACCUGCCAAGGAAUCAGCUAGCUAGUCCCAAUUCUAAAGUCACUUUCCUCAAGUAAAUCGUUCUUUAAAGUUAGAAUAGAGAGCUGCAUCAGUCUAAUUUUGCUCUUAAUUAUAGAAACCAAAAAGGGAUAGCUUUUAUGUAAGCCUUUAUUUGUGUUGUAAAUAAGCAGAGAGAAAUGAAUUCUGUAAGCAACCUUGUGAAAAAGGUCUCAGUAAUCACUAGCUACACUGUUUGGUUCCACCCUGUUUUUCAGCUUUUAUUAAAAGGCUUAAUGG